CCCUUAGAUGUUCUGGGCCGCACGCGCGCUACACUGAGCCCUUCAUCGAGUUUACAACCUUGGCCGGUAGGUCUGGGUAAUCUUCUCAAAGGGGCUCGUGCUGGGGAUAGAUUAUUGUAAUUUUUAAUCUUCAACGAGGAAUUCCUAGUAAACGCAAGUCAACAGCUUGCAUUGAUUACGUCCCUGCCCUUUGUACACACCGCCCGUCGCUACUACCGAUUGAAUGGUUUAGUGAGCCCGAGGGACUGUUGCACCUAGAGGGUUUUCUCUCCAGGAGCAGCCGGGAACUCGGUCAAACUUGAUCAUUUAGAGGAAGUAAAAGUCGUAACA
rnacentral:rRNA from 1 species